rnacentral:rRNA from 1 species
UGUAAGCGUAUACCAAAGUUGUUGCAGUUAAAACGCUCGUAGUCGGAAUUUGGCAGUUCCGGAUGUGUGCACGUCGUGUGCGCACUUCGCGGGGAUUGCUUUUGUGGUCUUGCGUAGGAUGAGGCACUUUUAUUAGUGAACGUCCUCACGCAACCACUUUUUACUGUGAGAAAAUCAGAGUGCUCAAAGCGGGCAUUUGCCGUGAAUGUAUUAGCAUGGAAUAAUAGAAUAGGACUUGGUUCUAUUUUGUUGGUUUGUUGGGACUGAGUAAUGAUUAAGAGGGACAGUUGGGGGCAUUUGUAUUUCGGUGCUAGAGGUGAAAUUCUUAGAUUACCGAAGGACAAACUGCUGCGAAAGCGUCUGCCAAGGAUGUUUUCAUUGA